CCUACGGGGGGCAGCAGUGGGGAAUAUUGGACAAUGGGGGGAACCCUGAUCCAGCCAUGCCGCGUGUGUGAAGAAGGCCCUCGGGUUGUAAAGCACUUUCAGUGAGGAAGAACGCCUGGUGGUUAAUACCCAUCAGGAAAGACAUCACUCACAGAAGAAGCACCGGCUAACUCCGUGCCAGCAGCCGCGGUAAUACGGAGGGUGCGAGCGUUAAUCGGAAUUACUGGGCGUAAAGCGCGCGUAGGUGGCUUGAUAAGCCGGUUGUGAAAGCCCCGGGCUCAACCUGGGAACGGCAUCCGGAACUGUCAAGCUAGAGUGCAGGAGAGGAAGGUAGAAUUCCCGGUGUAGCGGUGAAAUGCGUAGAGAUCGGGAGGAAUACCAGUGGCGAAGGCGGCCUUCUGGACUGACACUGACACUGAGGUGCGACAGCGUGGGUAGCAAACAGGAUUAGAUACCCUAGUAGUC
rnacentral:rRNA from 1 species